UGGAAGUUGCAGACAAAACCUCGAUGGGGCA
rnacentral:piRNA from 1 species